GCCAGGCGUGGUGGCAGGCGCCUGUAGUCCCAGCUACUCGGAGGCUGAGGCGGGAGAAUGGCCUGAUCCCGGGAGGUGGAGCUUGCAGUGAGCCGAGAUCGGGCCACUGCACUCCACCCUGGGCCACACAGCGAGACUCUGUCUCAAAAAAAAANNNNNNNNNNUUUUUUUUUGAGACAGAGUCUCGCUGUGUGGCCCAGGGUGGAGUGCAGUGGCCCGAUCUCGGCUCACUGCAAGCUCCACCUCCCGGGAUCAGGCCAUUCUCCCGCCUCAG
rnacentral:SRP_RNA from 1 species